rnacentral:rRNA from 1 species
GAAAGCAUCUAAGCGGGAAGCCAACUCCAAGAUUAGAAUUCAUUAAGUCCCCUGAGAGAUUAUCAGGUUGAUAGGCACUAGGUGGAAGUACAGUAAUGUAUGCAGCCGAGGUGUACUAAUUGGACGUAGUUUCC